GUGGGAGCCUGGCUUCAUGGGGAUCUUCACCUCCAACAGCAAAUGGUUCCGGGCUUGGCAUGCCAAUGUAUUGGCAAGGUUUUUAUCCACCUUCUGGUGGUAUGCCCGGUGGAUUACCUGGUGGUAUGCCUGGUGGAUUACCUGGUGGUAUGCCCGGUGGAUUACCUGGUGGUAUGCCUGGCGGAUUGCCCGGUGGGAUUUCUCAUUUGCAGCCACCACCCCUUUUACGCCCACCACCUGGUCUGUCAAUGCCAUAUUCCAUGCAGCAGCCUUUUCAAUAUCCUGGAAUUAAUGCUUCUUUGCCUUCUGUACCUCAGAAUAUAUCUGGAUCAAAU
rnacentral:lncRNA from 1 species